rnacentral:rRNA from 1 species
UUGGAUGAGUGGCGAACGGGUGAGUAACACGUGAGUAACCUGCCCUCUUCUUUGGGAUAACGCCCGGAAACGGGUGCUAAUACUGGAUAUUCACUUGCCUUCGCAUGGGGGUGGGUGGAAAGGGUUUUUUCUGGUGGGGGAUGGGCUCGCGGCCUAUCAGCUUGUUGGUGGGGUGAUGGCCUACCAAGGCUUUGACGGGUAGCCGGCCUGAGAGGGUGACCGGUCACAUUGGGACUGAGAUACGGCCCAG